GUUGGUUGAAAAUCACCUCUGACUUUGGCCAUGGCCACAGGUGAGAUUCGGCACCCAGAGCCACCAGGGGCCUUAGCUCACUGCUGGCUCCUCCAUGUGGGGAGGUGAAAACCCAGGCCCUGACACGC
rnacentral:snoRNA from 1 species